rnacentral:rRNA from 1 species
UAGGGAAUCUUCCACAAUGGACGCAAGUCUGAUGGAGCAACGCCGCGUGAGUGAAGAAGGUUUUCGGAUCGUAAAGCUCUGUUGUUGGUGAAGAAGGAUAGAGGCAGUAACUGGUCUUUAUUUGACGGUAAUCAACCAGAAAGUCACGGCUAACUACGUGCCAGCAGCCGCGGUAAUACGUAGGUGGCAAGCGUUGUCCGGAUUUAUUGGGCGUAAAGCGAGCGCAGGCGGAAUGAUAAGUCUGAUGUGAAAGCCCACGGCUCAACCGUGGAACUGCAUCGGAAACUGUCAUUCUUGAGUGCAGAAGAGGAGAGUGGAACUCCAUGUGUAGCGGUGGAAUGCGUAGAUAUAUGGAAGAACACCAGUGGCGAAGGCGGCUCUCUGGUCUGCAACUGACGCUGAGGCUCGAAAGCAUGGGUAGCGAACAGGAUUAGAUACCCUG